AGAGUUUGAUUAUGGCUCAGAUUGAACGCUGGCGGCAGGCCUAACACAUGCAAGUCGAACGGUAACAGGAAGCAUCUUGCUGCUUUGCUGACGAGUGGCGGACGGGUGAGUAAUGUCUGGGAAACUGCCUGAUGGAGGGGGAUAACUACUGGAAACGGUAGCUAAUACCGCAUAACGUCGCAAGACCAAAGAGGGGGACCUUCGGGCCUCUUGCCAUCGGAUGUGCCCAGAUGGGAUUAGCUAGUAGGUGGGGUAACGGCUCACCUAGGCGACGAUCCCUAGCUGGUCUGAGAGGAUGACCAGCCACACUGGAACUGAGACACGGUCCAGACUCCUACGGGAGGCAGCAGUGGGGAAUAUUGCACAAUGGGCGCAAGCCUGAUGCAGCCAUGCCGCGUGUAUGAAGAAGGCCUUCGGGUUGUAAAGUACUUUCAGCGGGGAGGAAGGCGUUGUGGUUAAUAACCACAGCGAUUGACGUUACCCGCAGAAGAAGCACCGGCUAACUCCGUGCCAGCAGCCGCGGUAAUACGGAGGGUGCAAGCGUUAAUCGGAAUUACUGGGCGUAAAGCGCACGCAGGCGGUCUGUCAAGUCGGAUGUGAAAUCCUCGGGCUCAACCUGGGAACUGCAUUCGAAACUGGCAGGCUAGAGUCUUGUAGAGGGGGGUAGAAUUCCAGGUGUAGCGGUGAAAUGCGUAGAGAUCUGGAGGAAUACCGGUGGCGAAUGCGGCCCCCUGGACAAAGACUGACGCUCAAGUGCGAAAGCGUGGGGAGCGAACAGGAUUAGAUACCCUGGUAGUC
rnacentral:rRNA from 1 species